rnacentral:rRNA from 1 species
UCUGGGCGUAAGCGCGCGUAGGCGGUUGUGUCACAUCGAUGUGAAAUCCCCGGGCUUAACCUGGGAAUUGCCUUGUGUAACUGCACGGCUAGAGUGCGUGAGAGGGGGGUAGAAUUCCACGUGUAGCAGUGAAAUGCGUAGAUAUUUGGAGGAACACCGAUGGCGAAGGCAGCCCCCUGGGAUAUUACUGACGCUCAUGCACGAAAGCGUGGGGAGCAAACCGGAUUAGAUACCCUGGUAGUCCACGCCCUAAACGAUGUCAACUAGGUGUUGGGGAUUCUUUUCCUUAGUAACGCACCGUAACGCGCGAAGUUGACCGCCUGGGGGGUACGGUCGCUCGAUUU